rnacentral:tRNA from 1 species
GCCCUUAUAGCACAGUGGUAGUGCGUCGCACUUGUACUACUGGCGUGAGAAGCGCAAGAAGCAAUGCGAAGGUCGGUUGUUCAAUCCAGCCUGGGGGCA